CCUACGGGAGGCUGCAGUGAGGAAUAUUGGUCAAUGGGCGCGAGCCUGAACCAGCCAAGUAGCGUGAAGGAUGACUGCCCUACGGGUUGUAAACUUCUUUUAUCGAGGAAUAAAGUGAGCCACGUGUGCCUUUUUGUGUGUACUUUAUGAAUAAGGAUCGGCUAACUCCGUGCCAGCAGCCGCGGUAAUACGGAGGAUCCGAGCGUUAUCCGGAUUUAUUGGGUUUAAAGGGUGCGUAGUUGGGUGGUUAAGUCAGUGGUAAAAGUUAGAGGCUCAACCGCUUAUAGCCGUUGAAUCUGGGUUUCUUGAGUGAGCGAGAAGUAUGCGGAAUGCGUGGGGUAGCGGUGAAAUGCAUAGAGAUCACGCAGAACUCAGAUUGCGAAGGCAGCAUACCGGCGCUCAACUGAAGCUCAUGCACGAAAGUGUGGGUAUCGAACAGGAUUAGAUACCCGUGUAGUC
rnacentral:rRNA from 1 species